rnacentral:rRNA from 1 species
UGGGGAAUUGUUCACAAUGGGCGCAAGCCUGAUGACGCAACGCCGCGUGGAGGAUGAAGACCUUCGGGUCGUAAACUCCUUUCGAUCGAGACGAAUGGCCUCCGGGUGAACAAUCCGGAGGAGUGACGGUACCGAGAGAAGAAGCCCCGGCUAACUCCGUGCCAGCAGCCGCGGUAAUACGGGGGGCAAGCGUUGUUCGGAAUUACUGGGCGUAAAGGGCUCGUAGGCGGCCAACUAAGUCAGACGUGAAAUCCCUCGGCUUAACCGGGGAACUGCGUCUGAUACUGGAUGGCUUGAGGUUGGGAGAGGGAUGCGGAAUUCCAGGUGUAGCGGUGAAAUGCGUAGAUAUCUGGAGGAACACCGGUGGCGAAGGCGACAUCCUGGACCAAUUCUGACGCUGAGGAGCGAAAGCCAGGGGAGCAAACAGGAUUAGAUACCCCCGUAGUCCCUGAGCGGGCUGGCAAGGCGCAU